rfam:Ornithorhynchus anatinus chromosome 3, whole genome shotgun sequence.
CCCUUCUCAGACUCACACUUGGAGAGUCUCCAGUACUCUACCAAUCUUUGCUAUAGGAGGGAUAGAGUUAAGCAGAGGCAUACCCAUCCCAUUCCUAGCUUGGGCAAUGGCUUGUGAAUGGAAGGCAAUCUGCUACAAGU